CCAAACAUGGCAUCUUCCAUGAAGAGCUUGUUUUCUGACCAUAGCAAAUAUGUUGAAUCUUUCCGGAGGUUUCUCAACAAUUCCAUGGAGCAUCAGUGCAUGCAGCAAUUCAUGGACGAGAAGCUUCUGGGCAUAAUAGCAAGGAUUGGAGACACAAAAUCUGAGAUUAAGAUUCUAAGCAUUGGUGGAGGUGCAGGUGAAAUUGAUCUUCAUAUCCUCUCCAAAGUGCAGGCUCAAUACCCAGGAGUUAGUAUCAACAAUGAAGUUGUUGAACCAAGUGCUGAACAAAUCACCAAGUACAAAGAGCUUGUAGCCAAGACAUCAAACCUCGAGAACAUAAAGUUUACUUGGCAUAAGGAGACAUCAACUGAAUAUCAAAAUAGAAUGAUGGAGAAAAAAGAACUUCAGAAGUGGGACUUUAUUCAUAUGAUUCAGAUGCUGUAUUAUGUAAAAGAUAUCCCAGCCACCCUGAAAUUCUUCCAUAGUCUCUUAGCUACCAGUGCUAAGAUUCUCAUUACUCUUGUGUCCAGAACCAGUGGCUGGGACAAGCUAUGGAAAAAGUACAGAUCUCACUUACCCCGGGAUGACCUCUACCAGUAUAUCACGUCAUCUGACCUCACGCAGAUGCUGGACAAGUUGGGGAUUAAGUAUGAGUGUUAUGACCUUCUGUCCACCAUGGACAUAUCUGACUAUUUUAUUGACAGCAAUGAAAAUGAAGACCUGCUUCGGGAUUUUUUGACAGAAACCUGCAACUUUAGUACAACAGCACCACCUGAUCUCAAAGCAGAAAUUAUGAAAGAUCUGCAAGACCCUGAAUUUAGUGUAAAGAAAGAGGGAAAAAGGUUCUUUUCAAUAACAGUCUGAGUUUCAUAGUGGUUGAGGCAUAA